rnacentral:lncRNA from 1 species
GAUUAUGUCACUCUAUUGUUGAACAAUAAGCUAAUCAAGCGUGAGGAUGUUCGUUUUGAAAAGGGACCUAUAUAUCGAGGAAACACGGGAUGUUUCGCAUCAAGGCUCUUCGUAAGCUCCCUAAACUUGAAUUAUUAAGUUUUAUUAUCAUGAAUACAAUUUGAUUAUUCUGUAAAUUAUAUUUUUCAACGUGGAUUAUGCAUUGUUUGUAUGCAAAUUCAUCGAUCAUAUUGUUUUUGAACAAGCAAUUUCAAUUAAUGACUAUUCAGAAGGAAUGAUGCAAAUCAUGAGGGCGAACAUAGCAUAUGAGUUGUUGAGUGAAGUUAGCUUUAACAAGGAAGCGUGGGACCAACAAUAACUGCUUGUAAAUGCUGAUGCAGAAGAAAAAUGAAGCAGCUCAAGAAAAAAAAGAAUAGUUUUAUCCAUUAUUGGUUUUUGGUGUUGAAAAACAAAAAAAUUUUAAAGAUACAUUUGUGUUGGUGCUUGUCAAAUAUUGUUUGUGG